rnacentral:lncRNA from 1 species
UCAAUUUCGAUCGCCUCGGCUAAUGAUGUGUUGGUUGGUUACGCGUGCGUGCGCGCUCAGACGUGGAAGAAGACGGUGGCGGGCGCGUCGAGGAUGUUCGUGGAGAGGCACCGGAGCAGCCACGUGCAGCUCAUCAGCGACAUGGUCUAGCAGAUGAGAUCACCCAAGCUGCCGCCCGUCCACCCGCCUCGGCGCCGCCAUUGCCGUUGGAUGUUCAGUUUCUAUCUAUGAACAAGUAUGCGUCACUUUUUCUUUUUGUUUGACCAAACUCAAGUCCCCUUUCUAAAACUGCAGCCAAGCAGUACUUGCUACUGGAAUAAUCCCAUGAAUGAAUUCUUUGUUGUGGUUAACUCUUUCUUGUCUCUCUACUAGGAUUCAUGCACCAAGCCCAGAGUUAAAAUUUUGUGUCAGGCUGCUAGUAAAUCAGGCUCUACUCUGUCCAAUAGCAAGUUGGAUAGCACCUGUAGUUAAUUGCACGAACAUAUGGGUUUUGGUUCAUUUUGUACGUAUGUUUGUUUGUUCAUGCUUACGACUUUGGCUAAAACACGUUGGAUGCCCAAUUCCUAUGGUGAACCUUUUGGUUCAAGCAAGCAAACUCAUGUUCCCUUUCUAUGACUGAAGCCAAGCUGUACCUACUACUGGCAUAAUACGAUGGAUUCAUUCUUUGUUUGUGGUCAACUCUUGUCUGUCUACUAGCAUUCGUGCGAGAACCUGAAUGUUGUGUAGGCUGAUGUGCUGUACUACCAGUAAACUAGUUUGUACUCUCUCCAACUGCAAGUUGGAUAGCCUUGCAAUUAAUUGUACAGACAUGCAUAUGAUUUUUGGUUCAAUUUGUAUGUAUGUAUAUGCUUAAGACUUUGACUAAAACUAGUUGGAUGUUCAGUUCCCCAUGAAGGUGACCAAUCCCUAGCAGUGCCCAUUGGUCCUUCCUGUUAAUUUCACCUCCUGUGAUUUUAAUCUUUGUUUCUUGCUUUCCACAGCGACCAAGUUCUCUUAACAGCGGGACAUCUGAGUUCAUCGUGGUGAUGGAAGCUGACACGGAGCCGCUCGAAAUCUCCUCGACCUCCCGUCAUGUUUCUUGCGGACGGCAAGGUAGAAAUUCUGUCCAUAUACAUCAUACUAAUGCUAAUUAAUUUAUAUGUUGUAGCUUGCGCGAUAUGGUCAUGGCAGUAACUGUUAAGCUCAUAAUUAUGUAUGUUGUCUUCAAGUUUUCUCUAAUAUAGAUUUCUCAAAUCUCUCUUUGAACUUCUCUAAUAAAAAAUUGUGCUAACUGUUAAAGCUAUUUGUGGUGACAUGUUUCUUUUACCAAUACAAUAAUAUAUUGGCACUCAAGGACUGUUUGAGUGAUAGGCUGUUCAUACUAUUAGAGAGUGAACUGAUUAAGCUAUUGCUUUCCCCAACGACAAAAAAUAAACACGACAGUUGAACAAUGUGUAUCCCUUCACUUGGAAGCCUAUGAAACUUUCUGUAGCAGCAGUGCAACACACUUUAUAUAUAUGUAUGAGGCUGAGUAGUUCAAAACUACUUUACUUCCUAACUCAUUCAUAUAUAUGAUGGAAAUUGUGCAGGUUCCAUGGUGCCAAGUGGCCUUUGGCCAUCUUGAACUGGAACUCCAGAAAAAAGUAGAUGUUGCUACCACACUCAAUAUUUUAAGUUGUUUUCUUUUUUCUUUUUGGAGAGAUGUUAAUAACCUGAGAACACUUGCCUCCUCCCCAACCCUCGCCCUAGCCUGCCGCUGCUGGCUUGCUGCGUGGCUGUCGCCGUAGCAGAUAAUUAGAUUUUUGGGACUCUGUUUCUAUGCUCUGCUCGAUAGCAUUUUGGAUAUUGAUUGGACACGCUUUAUAUAAAACGAUUUAUCUUGUACAUUGCUCUGCCUAACUUGUAGGAGUAUACAUGAAACCAUACUUGUCAAAUAUCGACACUUGUCAAAUAUCGAGUAUCACAGCUGAAUAAUAACGUCUUGUUUUCUGUUCACUGAAUCAAAAUUCUUCCCUCUUUUUACGAUCAGUCCAUCUUACAGCCAUCAAUAAGAAAAACACUUAUCUUCAUAUUAGGAUUAUUAUUUUCUUGUCUGCAGUAUUAUAAUGUACAUAUGCUUUUCUGUUCACUGAAUCACAAUUCUUCACUCUUUUUACCAUCAAUCCAUCUUCUUACAGUUGCAUGUUUUUUUGGCUGUCCAGAUGACCAAGCCCAAGGAGUAAGCAGCUGCUCAUCACUGAGGACAAGUAACUCCAGCAGGUUGACGCCGUAGAUUUUCAUAGUGUACCUUCUAUAUGCCCAUCCAGUUUUGUGAUUUGUGUCUUGAAACCCAAAAACCCCAUGCCCAUGUGGGAGCUGAACCAUAGUUUUUUGCUUGUGGAAAAUAAUAUCCUUGGCUGAAUCGACUUGAGGUGGUUUCUUCGAAAUUCUUGGAAACGAUUUGGUAGUUUAUUUUGGCGAGGAAUUGUUUCAUACUGAAGUUUACUGGUACAUGUGUGGUUUGCUACAGUUGCUUCGUUUGGGUUGGGUUGGUUCCAGCGGAGAGAUGUGCAUGCACACUGGCAGCAUGAGCUAGCAGCCAUGAUUGCUAGCCAGCCACCACCAUGUAAAUGUAAUAAAUGUGUGGCCUAUCUAGUGUGCUGCUGAUAGAAAUAUAGAUGUGUGGCCUAUCUAGUGUGUUGCUGAUAAUAUGUUUUUACCUCACUUGGUAGGCACCAUAAUCUGUUUUUUCGUCAUUGUACUGUAGGAAUAAAUGUGUGGCCUAUCUAGUGUGCUGCUGAUAGAAAUAUAGAUGGAAGAUUUGUUGACCAGUUAAAUUGAGCUUAUUGUCAAUUCUAUGUUUGAUGUUGCCUACAGGUUCUUAUUCUUUUUUUUUUGCAUAGGUGAAGUAUGAAGUGUGAAGCCGUGAAGCCUAUCAGCAAGAGUAGCAUAUUAUGUAUUGUAAUAUCAGGCAAAGUGUAAUAUUGGUCAGAGUAGCAUAUUAUGUAUUGUAAUAUUUAGUGUUGUUUUGGAUGAAUUUCAUUUGCUCUAUAAUAUGUUUGAAAUAUUGAAUGUGUAUAUAAUUUCAAUACCUAUGAAAUGGAAACCUGACCAGGGGGACCCACUUAUGAAAAUUGGUUGACAAAUUUUGAAAUUUCUGAUGUGUGGGUCCAAUUGUGAUAUCAGCAUGACAAGUGGGACCAAUAUGACCAGUGGGACCAGCGCAAAAAUAAUGUGGCUAAAAAUAGAAAAUUAAUAGUAAUGGCCCA